UUCAAUGGGCCUUUUGCUGUGUAUCAUGACUUUGUCCCAUCGGCUAAUCAAUGGGGAGAGCCGAAGUCAUACUGCCCUGUUGGAUCUCCAGCUUUUGGGUCAAUUAUUUCGCUCUUAUCAAGUUGCCUUCAACAGGUACAUAUUGACCUGACGUUGUAGUGUUUCUGCCAUCAUUAUUUUUCUUGGUUAUUAAAUCACUCAAGUCUACUUUUUGUGUGGAAGAGGAGUGUUCAGGCGAUGAAAUAUGCUCUGUGUAAUAUCAAUGAUUGUCAAAAUUUAAACUGGAUAGACUGAGGCUAUACUUAAAAGACUCAUCCUUCUUUUGAACUCUGAAUCACUCUUAGCGGUAGAUGGUUCUCAUCUCUAAACUUUUGACGGUUGCAGGUCAAGAAUGACAUUGCGCGAGGGAAAGAAUUGCUUAAACCAGGAAUAUCCGCAUCACAUUUUGAUCUACCUAAAACAUUAUUCUUUGGAUUCAGCAAGGGUGGCACUGUACUUAACCAGCU
rnacentral:lncRNA from 1 species